AUGCACCGAGCACUCCAUCAGCAGCCUGCUACUGCCGUGGAUGUAAUCUCAGACAAAGCUGUGCCCUGGUUGGGAUCCCAACCCCACCCUACAAAAAUGCAGCUGGUCCUGCAGAACUGCCUGUACAGCAGGGCUCUUCCCAGCACUGCUGGGCAGGAAAGGAUAACCAUCUCCUCACUCUCGGCAGAGCUGGUUAGGCUACAAGAGGUCUGGAAUGUGGACAGUGCUGAAAUUAAAGCAGCCAGAAAUAAAGCAGGCAAUUCCUCUGAACCCGACUGCUUCUUCAGCCUUCUGGAACGACCUCGUGUGGGCACAGAAGAGGAUCAUUAUAUUGACAGCAGCUACUAGAGAGAACUGAGCUAUGAGAGCAGCAAGAAGAACAUGUGGACAUUUUGUGGAGGACUUAAAUGAGAGUUCUGAAUGAAAGAUUUUUCUGGGUCACCUAAUCUGGGCCUGGAGUGUACCAGUUGAUUGUUUUCCACUGCUAAAUGUAGCUGGAUCAUGGCAGCAAGGCACAACCAGGGACCUAUGUGGCACAUGAUCCACUUAGAGGUGGUGUGGGAUGGUGGUUGGGUCAGCAGAGAGGCUAAAUGGCUUGUCUAGGAAUCCAACAGGAGGAGCAAAGGGAAAACACAGUGGCUUUGCUCCCUGCUUUAUACACACAAAGCAGUAAUAACUCAUUUUACUCCUUAUUUACAGAUAACUUGUACUUGUGUGGCACUUCAGCAACAGUGAAAAUCAUCUGGGGGCUAUAAGUGAACCAAAUUUGCUUGGAACAGGGAAACUUCUCACCUGCAUUUUAUCCUUCUGAGUUCCCCACUGUUAUAAAUUUGUAUUGAGAUAUUGGCUUUCGCAGAUGAAUAUUAUAUAUUAAAUACUUUUUAGCUAUGCUAACAAGUCUUAAGUUUAAAAGAAUUUCCUAGGUACAAGGCAAGGAAACCCCAGAGGGCAAGGACACUGGGGCCCAAGCUGUUAUCAGAACAAUAGAACCCAAACUGUUAUCAGCAGAAGAUAUGAAGACCAGCUGCCCUCAGGGGAAGGAUGAGGGGCCCAGGCUGUUAUCAACAAGUGACCAUCUGCAGCAAAAAGGAAACCAAACUCCAAAAUAAUGCUGACCAGCUAGAAUAACGAUAACCAGCAAAAAUUAUGCUGACCAGCAGAAAAUAACAUGAUCCAAGAAGGUGGAACCAGGGAGGGGACAUGCUUGAAUAUGCAUUAACCUCUCACAGCAAGGAUGGGAUAAAAAGGACACUCCUGAGAUACCAGGUGUGUUCCUGGUAACCUGCCAGAGCACCCGGCCGUUUUAACCCUUUGCUUUAUUUCUUUUGUCUCCUAAUUGUCUUUUGUUUAUAUUAAAUUCUUUUUAUAAUUUAUUAAGUGAAUCUCGUUUUUAAGACCAUCACAGCACAUAAUCUUUCCUGUGAUGGGGUGGAAGGUUUAGAAGCCAUCCCCAGUUCCAGAGGCAGGAAAUUACAUAGUAUAGAACAAGAUGGCUGCUUUCAAUCCUUACAACUUUAAAAAUUACUUCUGUGUCCUUGGGAGCUGCACACAGAGACAUUUGGCAAUAUUUUGUUUCCCUCCUUGUCUGGGGCUGAAAGGAAGGCGUGGCUCAGUGAGCGAACACUUAGAUGAGCUACCCUCCAUUUCCUUAAUGAGCCUAUUAAGUGACUCAUCAAAGGUGUAACGACCAGUCUCAGAAGGGAGAGGCACACAGAGCUAACUGACUGCACUGAGAUAUUCCUAGUGCACACAAAACAACUACAGUAUAUGCUACAAGAGUUAAUUGGGAAUAAUGUGAUUCCGGUGCUAGGGAAGUACACAGAUGGAAAACACCUUGGCACUUUUCCUUUUUGCAGGCUGGAGUUGUCUAUACCUGAGCUCACAGCUCCAGCUUUUCCUCCUCUGAAUGAGGGAUGACAAAGUCCUGCUGUGACACCUCCAUCUCUGGGGUAUUUGCAGAGUCAAGCAUCUGGUGGAACUGUUCCUGCUCCCUGAGCCUGAGCAAAAUCCAUGACUUAAGGAGGAGAAACUUGGUUUAGGACACGAGAACCAAAGACCAUAUCAAAAUUCAAACGGAAUUUUAUUCUCUGCUUUCCUGUAUGAGUCCUUGAAGGUGUGCAUGCCAGAAUUUAAUCUUUCCAAGGAGAUUUAAAAGUACUGCUGUAUUAACUCAAAUACACCAGGCAUACAGCAACCAGCUCAUGUCACUCUCCACCACACUGGGUUUCAUUUACAAGGUUAACUAUGAUCCACUGUUGCACAUUUUCCAGAAUCUUCUGACUGUGUAUUAAGAGCAGAGCAAGGGAAGCAGGAACAGCAAAUAGCAUCAAUAAUGCUUAGGAGACUGAAAGAGAAGAUGUACUAAAACACAUGCCUAUUUCUCCUGAAAUGCCACUUUAUGUCAACUGCCAUGGUUUCCAGGCUGUCAGAAUUGAAUUAUAUUGUAAUUACAUCCUAUUUGGACAAGGUCACAAGAAUAAAAGCUUAGUACUUUCCUCCA
ensembl:lncRNA